CUGAUUAUCAAACGACAUGCGAUAAGGUGUGAGUUUGGACGACGAUGUAUAAUUUAUGGUGCUGUUGCAAGAAUUUGACGUAGUGGAGGUGUUUUUAUUGGUGUUGAGAGGGAGGAGGUAAUAGAGAUGGCCGCCAUGGAGCUCUUCGUUGUGGAGGAGAGGUGAAGAGAAGAGGUCGGAGCUACGGCAGAUUGAAUGGCCUGGGAACUCGUUGGUUAUGCGCUUUGCGGUGAUGGGUGCGUAGAGCUCCAUGAUUCCUCCAUUUGUUGUGACCACUUUUAUUAUUUCUUCUACUUGAAGUCCAAAUCCCUUGAACAUGCAAUUUCCCAUGCAUUACAGUGUCCUCAAUUCCUCCUCGACAAUUUUGCUGCUGGUGAAUGGAGAUUGUAUAUAGCGAGCGAGAAUAUAACAAGGAUCCCUUGCUUAGCUUUGGCUAAUCAAAUUCACAAUUUACCCUUGCUUGUCAUUUAUUCAAGUUAAAUGACCAGAAACUCGCUAUCAGCUACGGCAAUCACAUAAGGGUAAAUCGACAGUUGUAGCAUCCUUGCCUCUUUCGGUGGCACUCAUUAAGUUUUGAAAUUUGUUGGUUGAUGAUGAUGGAAUCGUCCAAAGCAAAGAGAUAGAUAACGGAUUCCCCAAUCACACAUGGGGAUGUUUUAGGCUCAGCAAAAAAUAAGUAAUUAAUCACUGGAGAGAUAUUCCUGUAGUAGUUCACAAAUUUUGUAUUGCCAAAUGCCAACUUCAAAG
rnacentral:misc_RNA from 1 species